CUAGAUAUACAGAGUCACGGACUAGUAAAAAAAGUAAGGACUCCGCGUCACCUACAUAAAAGUGAAGCACCCAAAACAAGCCGGCUCCGUGUAAAUACGAACCUACACGCACACACUUACAUAAACAUAAGCCGAUAGAUAGACCGCCAUUACGCUCGCGACCAUCAUCGGUGACAGUUCAUAUUUUUCGCGUAUAAAAAAUUGACAUAAUGCCGUCAUGUGUCGUGAAAUGGUGCAAAAAUAAUACCACUUUACACAAAAAGUGCCAAGGGAUUACUUUUCACAGGUUUCCUACCGGAAAUGAACCUUGGAAAAAUGAUUGGGUGAGAAUAAUAAGGAACUCUAGAGGUCAAGAAGAUUGGACCUCAACCAAGAGUAGUGUGGUAUGCAGCAUACAUUUUGAUCAAAAUGAUUUAUAUACCACGUCAAAAGGACGCCGUCGAGCAACGAUCGCCGCGCUCGACGCGGAUCGCGACGCGGCGCGUGGGCUGCGCGAGCUUCAUACAAUAUUGAGCUGUUGAUGCGAUUGAUGCGAAUAGUAGAACAUUGUUACGAUUAGGAUUACCGAAUGUACUUAUUUUAUUAUGUUUUUUUUUGUGUUGGUAAAUGGCCUUACUUACGUGUCAAUUUUCAAUUUCAUUUUCACUUGCAUUUUUAUUUUAUUUUAUAAGUACUUUGAAAAUAAAUCACUCAAACGCA